GGCUUUAUAGUCAAUUUAUGAUAUUAGACUGCAAUUCUAAAGUAGUAAGAUCUUACUAAAGCUU
rnacentral:tRNA from 1 species